CCUACGGGAGGCAGCAGUGGGGAAUAUUGCACAAUGGGGGAAACCCUGAUGCAGCGACGCCGCGUGAGUGAAGAAGGAUUUCGGUAUGUAAAGCUCUGUCAGCAGGGAAGAAAAUGACGGUACCCGACCAAGAAGCCCCGGCUAACUACGGGCCAGCAGCCGCGGUAAUACGUAGGGGGCAAGCGUUAUCCGGAUUUACUGGGUGUAAAGGGAGCGUAGACGGCAGGGCAAGUCUGGAGUGAAAGGCGGGGGCUCAACCCCCGGACUGCUCUGGAAACUGACAGGCUGGAGUGCAGGAGAGGUGAGUGGAAUUCCUAGUGUAGCGGUGAAAUGCGUAGAUAUUAGGAGGAACACCAGUGGCGAAGGCGGCUUACUGGACUGUAACUGACGUUGAGGCUCGAAAGCGUGGGGAGCAAACAGGAUUAGAUACCCUUGUAGUC
rnacentral:rRNA from 1 species